GCGAGUGACAGCGCCCGCGAGGGCGUCGCUCCCGUCCAUUGUCAUGCGUGCCGAGCGGCCCUUGCGAGAGGGGCGCGUCGGCGAAGCACGUUUCGGCGGAGGUGUUGCGGAUGGAAGCUAGCGAGCCGGGUAACCGGAGCGUUGGUCUGUGCGCGACCGCCGCCGGUCUUUUCGUCAACACAUGGGAAGGUCUGAAGUCUGACUUGCGAGAGAAAGAAUAGAAGCA
rnacentral:misc_RNA from 1 species